rnacentral:rRNA from 1 species
AUUGAACGCUGGCGGUAUGCUUAACACAUGCAAGUCGAACGGUAGCAGGCCUUCGGGCGCUGACGAGUGGCGGACGGGUGAGUAACGCGUAGGAAUCUGCCUCAUAGUGGGGGACAACGUGGGGAAACCCACGCUAAUACCGCAUACGCCCUACGGGGGAAAGCGGGGAGUCUUCGGACCUCGCGCUAUGAGAUGAGCCUGCGUUAGAUUAGCUAGUUGGUGAGGUAAUGGCUCACCAAGGCGACGAUCCGUAACUGGUCUGAGAGGACGACCAGCCACACUGGAACUGAGACACGGUCCAGACUCCUACGGGAGGCA